GUACAAAACAUGUUGGAAGCCUGACCGCUGGGGACACGUGUGCUGCACUUCCGGGAGCAGAAUGACAUCAUCGUUAAUGGCUAAAGGCGGCCAGACGCACUGGGAGAAUGCCAGGAGCUUGCUUACAGAGAACUGGAAUAUGCAAUACUAGGGAUGACUCACAUGAUUAGAGAUGUUAACAAGGAAAAGAGAGUUCAACAGGCUCGUCAAUGGAUUGCUAUUGGAGAAAAUUUUGACAAUGUCAUAUUUACAGAUGAAACUUCUGUAGCACUUGAGAGGUUUGCAAGGAGGUCCUUCCGCAAACGUGGCCAUUUAUCAUUUAAGCCAUCUCCAAAGCACCCAUUAAAAGUACAUGUGUGAGGUGGUAUCUCCCGCAGAGGCCCAGGACCAAUUUUAAUUUUUGAAGGUAUCAUGGAUAAAACAUUCUUCCAGUCCAUGAUCAUUAAUGAUACUUUAGUGCCGUAUGUAAGAAAGUAUUGGUCAUCUGGACAUCGAAUGUUCCAGGACAAUGAUCCAAAACAUAGUGCUUCGGCCAAAUUCAUAGAGGAAAAAGGCAUCAUUUGGUAACGCACACCACCAGAAUCACCGGACAUGAAUCCUAUCGAGCUAGUGUGGUCUCAAAUGAAAAGUUAUAUUCGUUCUCAAUGUAAGCCAAGGACAAAAGAGCAACUGAUUGAUGGCAUCAAUACAUUUUGGAAAAACGUACUUACAUUGGAGACCUGUAAUAAUUA